rnacentral:tRNA from 1 species
GUCCUCGUCGUUCAAUGGAUAGGACACUAGCCUCCGAAGCUGGUGAUGCGCGUUCGAUUCGCGCCGAGGGCACUA